AGCACUUGUUUGCGUGUUUUGUGAACUGAUGAACAAAGACUUAAAAAUAUGUACAAGAAAUAAAUCCCCUUUUGCCACCCAGAACUCACUAUUCUGUGUGAGUGUUGAUACAAAUCAGAAGGUAUAUG